rnacentral:tRNA from 2 species
GGAGAGAUGUCCGAGUGGCUGAAGGAGCACGAUUGGAAAUCGUGUUUGCGCUAAUACCGUAACGAGGGUUCGAAUCCCUCUCUCUCCGCCA